rnacentral:rRNA from 1 species
UACAGAGGGUGCGAGCGUUGUUCGGAAUUACUGGGCGUAAAGCGCGUGUAGGCGGCGGUGUAAGUCGGACGUGAAAUCCCUUGGCUCAACCAAGGAAGUGCAUCCGAUACUGCAUCGCUUGAGUGCCGGAGGGGAUGGCGGAAUUCCCGGUGUAGAGGUGAAAUUCGUAGAUAUCGGGAGGAACACCUGUGGCGAAGGCGGCCAUCUGGACGGUGACUGACGCUGAGACGCGAAAGCGUGGGUAGCAAACAGG